UAAUAAAAUGCCUGACUAAAGGGCUAUCAUGAUAGGAUAAAUAAAGUAAAAGUUACUUUUAUUAAC
rnacentral:tRNA from 1 species